rnacentral:tRNA from 1 species
GGAAGUGUGCCCGAACACAAGGAUUACUUUGAUAGAGUAACAUAUAGGAGCUUAAAUCUCCUCAUUUCCU